UACGGGGGGGGCAAGCGUUGUUCGGAAUUACUGGGCGUAAAGGGCUCGUAGGCGGCCAACUAAGUCAGACGUGAAAUCCCUCAGCUUAACUGGGGAACUGCGUCUGAUACUGGAUGGCUUGGAUUCGGGAGAGGAAUGCGGAAUUCCAGGUGUAGCGGUGAAAUGCGUAGAUAUCUGGAGGAACACCGGUGGCGAAGGCGGGUCUCUGGGCCGAUACUGACGCUGAGGAGCGAAAGCGUGGGGAGCGAACAGG
rnacentral:rRNA from 1 species